rnacentral:rRNA from 1 species
AUUGAACGCUGGCGGCAGGCCUAACACAUGCAAGUCGAGCGGAUGACGGGAGCUUGCUCCUGGAUUCAGCGGCGGACGGGUGAGUAAUGCCUAGGAAUCUGCCUGGUAGUGGGGGACAACGUUCCGAAAGGAACGCUAAUACCGCAUACGUCCUACGGGAGAAAGCAGGGGUCCUUCGGUCCUUGCGCUAUCAGAUGAGCCUAGGUCGGAUUAGCUUGUUGGUGAGGUAAUGGCUCACCAAGGCGACGAUCCGUAACUGGUCUGAGAGGAUGAUCAGUCACACUGGAACUGAGACACGGUCCAGACUCCUACGGGAGGCAGCAGUGGGGAAUAUUGGACAAUGGGCGAAAGCCUGAUCCAGCCAUGCCGCGUGUGUGAAGAAGGUCUUCGGAUUGUAAAGCACCUUAAGUUGGGAGGAAGGGUUGUAGAUUAAUACUCUGCAAUUUUGACGUUACCGACAGAAUAAGCACCGGCUAACUCUGUGCCAGCAGCCGCAGUAAUAC